rnacentral:rRNA from 1 species
GAGUUUGAUCUUGGCUCAGGAUGAACGCUAGCUACAGGCUUAACACAUGCAAGUCGAGGGGCAGCAUUUUAGUUUGCUUGCAAACUAAAGAUGGCGACCGGCGCACGGGUGAGUAACACGUAUCCAACCUGCCGAUAACUCGGGGAUAGCCUUUCGAAAGAAAGAUUAAUACCCGAUAGCAUAAUGAUUCCGCAUGGUUUCAUUAUUAAAGGAUUCCGGUAAAGGAUGGGGAUGCGUUCCAUUAGGUUGUUGGUGAGGUAACGGCCCACCAAGCCUUCGAUGGAUAGGGGUUCUGAGAGGAAC